UGGCUAGGCUGGUGUGGCCAUCAUAUCUUCCACACCUAAAAUAUGGGCUUUGUCACUUUGGGAUGCUUUACAACCAAUGCUUUACCUACGGUUCAUGCAUCUACUUUUUUAGUUUGUUUUGACAUCCAAUUUAUCGCAACUAAUAAAAUAAUUUAUUAGUAGAAUUAACCAUUAAGAUUGUACAUAUGGGAUUCUCAUGCAGAACGUGAAAAUAAAUUAAGAAUAUAAAGAAAAGUGGAGCUAAAUGCUGUACUAUUAUUAUUUAGCCGAAGAAGAAGAAGAAGGUAAAUGCUAUUUAGGCCUUGUA
rnacentral:lncRNA from 1 species